UUUCCUUUCUUUGCCGAGCUGAAUAGCUGCCCAUCUUGUGUGUCUGAGGCUGUUACCUCUUCUGCCGUACCACGCUGUGCAAUCCUCACCUCAGAUGCUGUUGCCGCUGCAUAAUCAUACUAAUCAAAUUAACCACCGGAAGCGUUUAUCCAGGGCCUUUGCAAGUCGACAGUUUCAAGAAAAGUGUGACAAAGCACAAGCAAAAGUUUGAAGAAUUAUCAGUGGUUAUUGAGCAAACAAUUGACCAUGACAAAGAACUGGAACGUGAUGUGAAACAUAAUGUAUAUACCAGUUCAAGAGCUGGCUGGGGACAGAAGAUUGUAAAUUACAUCAAUUAUGUCAGUCAUCUGCUGGAUCAGCUAUUUAAUUAGUUGCCGGAAACUGCCACAGACUUCUAUCCUUCAGGUAGCCUUUUAAAUCACGCAUUUAAUAUGAACUGGAAAUCUCAAUAUUUUGAAAAUGAAAUGAAUGCAGAAUUGUUUUGUGUGGUAAUUUGUUGUUUGGUGCAUUGUCAGCACAGCAUACUAAUUUGACUUUUGGACUUAUUUCCCCUGUUUCAAUUUUGUUUAUAUGUGUUUAUUUACCUAUUUAAAUGACCUAAGGGACACAACAUAUUUGUAAGUCCUGCUCAAGCGUGAAGGUAAGCUCUCAAACAGAAUUUGUGUAUUUUUUGGUAUCUUCUACUCGUCUCAAAUCCAAGCUUAUCUGAUUGCAUCUGAUUAUAAAGCGGACAUUAUACGGUUUUGUUAUUCAUCAGUUUCAACUGUACAAUCAGACUGAUGUCUGGUAGAAGUACGACAAUAAAUUUCAUAUUUUAUUCUUUCCAUUCAUCAUAAUUUUAACUAUAAAGUUUGGUCAGUACCUCAAACUCUGCCUACGAGCAAUGAGCUGCUGAAUGCUGUCAUUUUAUUGUAAUUCAAACAUCUGUUUGAAUUAGGGCAGGCCUCAUGUAGAUAAUAUGUAAAUUAAGUAGUGGAAGGCUUGGUUUCACACAAUGAAGCUGAUUCAUCAUUUGUGUUUAAAUCAGACACAGUUUAGUUUGUACGUCAUUAAAGUCAAAUCUGAGCCUUUUCACACAACUCUGAUGAAUAAGGGACGCUGUGCUUCAUUUUCGCAAUGAUUACAUCAUUUUUAGAUGCAAAGCACCUCAUGAACCUGGCUUAUAAUCACUCACUCAUACACUGACUUACUCAUGUUUAUCAGGCUAAAGAUUCUCCAAAAGGAGGCGCU